rnacentral:rRNA from 1 species
AUUGAACGCUGGCGGCAGGCCUAACACAUGCAAGUCGAGCGAGCGGCGGACGGGUGAGUAAUGUCUGGGAAACUGCUUGAUGGAGGGGGAUAACUACUGGAAACGGUAGCUAAUACCGCAUACCAUCAGAUGGGCCCAGAUGGGAUUAGCUAGUAGGUGGGGUAACGGCUUACCUAGGCGACGAUCCCUAGCUGGUCUGCGAGGAUGACAAGCAACACGGGAACUGGGACACGGUCCAGACUCGUAAGGGAGGCAGCAGUGGGGAGUAAUGCACAAUGGGCGAAGGCCUGAUGCAGCCAUGCCGCGUGUGUGAAGAAGGCCUUCGGAUUGUAAAGCAAUUGCAGCGGGAAGGCGUUACCCGCAGAAGAAGCACCGGCUAACUCCGUGCCAGCAGCCGCGGUAAUAC